rfam:Truepera radiovictrix DSM 17093, complete genome.
CCGUCGGCUCAGCGCGGUGGCGACCCUCGAACCUGGUCAGGUCGAAAGAAGCAGCCAUAAGGGGUGAUCGUCAGGUGCCGCUGAAUCCCGGCGGGGC